rnacentral:rRNA from 1 species
UCGUGUCGUGAGAUGUUGGGUUAAGUCCCGCAACGAGCGCAACCCUCACCUCUUGUUGCCACCAGGUCAUGCUGGGCACUCUAGAGGAACUGCCCCGGUCAACGGGGAGGAAGGCGGGGAUGACGUCAAGUCAUCAUGCCCCUUACGUCCUGGGCUACACACGUGCUACAAUGGCCGGUACAAAGGGAUGCCACACCGCGAGGUAGAGCUAAACCCAAAAAGCCGGUCUAAGUUACAGAUUGGAGUUCUGCAACUUCGACUUCCAUGAAGGAGGAAUCGCUAGUAAAUCGC